UAUCUAUAGAUAUUUGUAAUAAUAAUCUACUUUAUCAUCGCAGUAAGAAUGUUAAUUUAUCAAUGUUAAUUUGUCUACGAGAAUGAUCUGUUUAGGGGAGUGUUGGGUUAUCAUCAUUCGACUAUUAGAUAAGCUUGUUGAGAGAUUGGGUAUUAAUCAAUCAAAAAUUCAUGCGCACACUUAUUAUUAACAAUUGUCCACGCGUUUAACAAUAAAUCAGUAAUCUGGUAUUGAAAAAAUAAAAGAAAAAAAAUAAAUUUAAACAAAAUUAAAUAUUAAUAAUAAUAAUAAUAAUAAAACAAAUCAAAUAAAAAAUCAAAUAUAUUCGUAAAAUUGUCGUGAAUUUCGUUGGUAAACACCGGGUAUACAUCUAUUCUUAACAAGUCUUUGGUACUACAUAUGUAAUACAUAUGAUAGGUAUGAUCUUUUGGUAGUUCUCAUAUCCACCUACCUGUCAAAUUAAAAUGUAAAUGAGAGAUAUUGCUUGUGCGAAGUGUAAAGAACUUUUAAUCGUACGGUAAUGCAAUCGAUGCAAUUUAUCCGAUUAACUCGGAAUAUUAAGGAAAGAUAGAAAGAAACCUUACGAGUAAUCAAGAGAGUUCGUUCUAGUAUCUAACCAGUUAAAUACCAGUUAUGGCUCUCCGUAAAGUAAAAGGAAAUUUCGAACGAAUGUUCGACAAAAAUUUGACGGAUUUAGUACGUGGCAUUAGAAAUAACAAAGAGAAUGAGGCAAAAUAUAUUACACAAUGUAUAGAAGAAAUAAAACAAGAAUUACGCCAGGAUAAUAUUGCGGUAAAGGCUAAUGCAGUUGCUAAGUUAACAUAUUUGCAAAUGUUAGGCUACGAUAUUACUUGGGCUGGAUUUAAUAUAAUUGAGGUCAUGUCAUCUGCCAAAUUCACCUAUAAACGUAUUGGAUAUUUAGCAGGUAGUCAAAGCUUUCACGCAGAUACAGAGCUUUUAAUGUUGACCACAAACAUGAUACGCAAAGACUUAAAUAGUCAAAAUCAAUACGACGCUGGAUUGGCUCUUAGUGGUUUAUCUUGUUUUAUAAGUCCAGAUCUGGCACGUGAUUUAGUUAAUGAUAUAAUGACUUUAUUAACAUCUACAAAGCCAUAUUUACGGAAGAAAGCAGUUUUAAUGAUGUACAAGGUGUUCUUGCGAUUUCCAGAAGCUUUAAGGCCUGCUUUUCCUAGAUUGAAAGAAAAACUUGAAGAUCCUGACAGUGGUGUACAGUCUGCUGCAGUCAAUGUAGUUUGCGAGUUAGCAAGGAAGAAUCCAAAAAAUUAUUUAAGCUUGGCGCCUGUAUUUUUCAAAUUAAUGACAACGUCGACUAAUAAUUGGAUGCUCAUUAAAAUAAUCAAAUUGUUUGGCGCCUUGACACCUCUAGAACCUAGGCUUGGCAAAAAGCUAAUAGAACCCCUUACCAAUUUGAUACACAGUACAUCUGCUAUGUCUUUACUAUAUGAGUGCAUCAACACUGUAAUAGCUGUAUUGAUUUCUAUAUCGUCUGGCAUGCCAAAUCAUUCAGAUUCAAUACAGCUCUGCGUGCAGAAAUUAAGAAUAUUAAUAGAAGAUUCUGAUCAAAAUUUAAAAUAUUUGGGCUUGUUAGCAAUGUCAAAAAUAUUAAGGACACAUCCUAAAAGCGUACAAGCUCAUAAAGAUCUUAUUAUGCAAUGUCUCGAUGAUAAAGAUGAAAGUAUAAGAUUGCGUGCCUUGGAUUUAUUGUAUGGAAUGGUAUCUAAGAAGAAUUUAAUGGAAAUAGUUAAAAAAUUAAUGGUGCACAUGGACAAAGCUGAAGGCACUACAUACAGAGAUGAAUUACUAUCAAAGAUCAUACAAAUCUGUUCUCAAAAUAAUUACCAAUUUAUAACAUAUUUUGAAUGGUACAUAUCUGUAUUGGUGGAACUCACACGAAUGGAAGGCACCAAGCAUGGACCAUUAGUAGCCACUCAAUUACUUGAUGUAGCGAUCCGGGUACAAGCUAUACGUAAAUAUGCAGUUCACCAAUGUGCCUUACUACUUGAAAAUUCCUAUCUUUUGACUGGUCAACCACGAGCUACUAUGUCUGAAGUUUUAUAUGCAGCUGCUUGGAUAUGUGGAGAAUUUUCUAGCGAACUAGAAGAUUCUUUAGCAACUUUGCAAUCGAUGUUGCGAUCACAAGCAUCCAGUUUGCCAGGACAUAUUCAAGCAGUUUAUGUGCAUAAUAUUUUAAAACUUGCUACGGCAAUAUUAUCUAAAGCAGAGAAAGAAGGUGACAGCGAAACGAUGGAACAAAUUUUUUCAUUGAAAGAUAAAAUAGCAGCAUUUGUGUGUAGCGGUGACUUGGAAGUUCAAGAAAGAUCUAGUUCAGCAUUAGUUUUAUUUGAAUGCUUGAAAGAAAAUCCUGGCUUGGCUGAAGAAUUAAUGGAAGCAUUUGAAGGUGAACUUAAUCCGGUCGCUCCUAAAGCUCAAAGAAAGGUACCUAUCCCUGAUGAUUUAGAUUUAAAUUCGUGGAUUAACGAUCCACCAUCAGAGAGCUCUGAUUCUGAAGAUAUGGAUAUGAACGAAAUAUUUGUUAAAUCAGAAAAAUCUAAUAAUUCCUUUAUGAAACGAGAAACUAAUGAACUUACGGUAGAAGAACUUCAGAAGAGAAGAGAGGCCAGAAAAUUGGAACAGCAAAAUAAUCCUCAUUAUUUGAAAGGAUCAUUUAAAAACUCCGCUUCUUAUCAUAAUUCAACGUCUCUUUACGAAGACUUUGAAAACAUUCCAGUUGCUGAAUUAGACAUACCGGUAUCUUUAAAAAUAUCGAAUUAUUCUGAUACCAGUAAAUAUCACAAUAUGAAUGUGGAUAAUAAUCAUAAGAGACAUAAAAAACAUGGCAAGAAAAAGAAAUCGAAAAAAAAUAAACAAUCUGCAUCGGAAGAUGAACAUGAAGAAGGUUAUCCUAUGCAAGUUGUAAAUACAGGUAUUGGUGAACUUCCACCAGGAGCAGAAAUAAGUGAUAGCGAUGAUUAUGAUAUGAUCGAUGCAAAUGAUCCUCAUCGAGCUUUAAAUAUCGAUUUAGACAUGCCUUUAAGAGAGGAUGAAAGAUUACCGGUUUUGGAACACAGAGUAGUAGAGAAUAGUCCAAAUCAGAAAGUAAAAGAAGCGAAGACAAUAAAAAAAGAUAAGGGUCAUAGGAAAACUAAAAGAAAGAGUAAAUGUGUUCAAGAAAAAGAGGCUGAUAAUCAAAUAAAUAUGACUGAUAUGUGGUUAGAAGAUAAUAUUGAAGAAGUAGGUUCUUCCUCUAUUCAAGAUUACACAGAAGUGAAUAGUAAAGAAAAUGUAGAUAUACGAAAGGAUAGUAAGCGAAAGAAAUCUAAGAAUCAGGAGAAACAUAAAAAAGUCAAGGAUGACGAUAUGAAACAUAAAAAAUCCAAAAAAUCCAAAAGUAAGAAAGAAAAAAAAUCGUCCGAUUAUGAAGAAACAGCUGGUAUAUCUACGCCCUCCAAAGAAAUAUUGCCAGAAUUAAGGAAUGAUUUAGUUAUUACUGAAAAUAGUUUGAAUUCCAUUCAACCAUUGAUCGCUUAUGAAAAAUUAUCUAAGAAUAAAACUAUUUCUAUGAUGUAUGAAUUAAAGCAAGUUGCUGAUGACACUAGUAAAAUAAUUGUAUCAAUACUCAUUACUAAUAUAGGGCAAAAGCUUGUUAAAGAAAUAAGGUUCGAUAUUACGGAUACGUCAACAUUGAAAUUAAUGAAAAAUGAUGGUGAAGAAUAUGGAAUGAAACUACCAUUCCAACUACCUCCACAAUCAAGUAAAGAGACACAAUUUACAAUAUUAAUAUCCGAUGUAACGUUUGCUCAAAAAUUGAGAGGAACAUUAACGUAUAUGCUGGAAAAUCUGGAUGGAACAAUACAAGAAAAACUUGAUUUCACUAUAAACUUAUCAUGCAGUAAAUUUAUGAUUGGACAUUUGUCCCACAAGGACAUACUAACGGAGUUACUUAAAAGCGGUCAACUAGUGUCUAGAAUUAGAAAAGAAAUUCUUUCGUCUCAGGAAUUUAAUGCAGUUUUGAAUACUGUCUGUUGCAAAUGUAAUCUCACUCUCGUGGAACAAAUAAAUGAUACUGCAUCUUUGUAUGGUCAUUCAUUGAAAGGACAUCAUGUGUGCCUUUUAUUAAAAUAUAAUAAAUCGACAGGUAAUUUGUUGAUCGAAGGUAAAGGUGACAAUAACUCUCUCCUAUCAGGAAUUGCGGAUGAGAUAACAAGGCUUUUGACAUAAGAGAAAUUGUACCUAUGUUUUAAAACAAAGAUAAAACAACUAAUGAUUCCUAUCAUUCAUUACAGUCAUAAUCAACAAACCUUUGCAUUAUGCGAAGAAAUAUUUUCCAGGAUCUGUUAUAUGGAGUUAUUAUCUAAGCACUGUAUAAUUUAGAAUUAUUAAAUUUGUUAAAUAUACAUAUAUAAGAGUUAUACAUAUGUAUACAUAUAUACAUGGAUAAAUACAUACAAAUAUAUACAUGUAUAUGUGGGGUUAUCAGGAUUCUAAAAACAAAAAAAACAAAAAAACAAAAAGGACAGAAAAAAAGAAACAGGGAAAAGAACAAAUUUAUUCACCAAUUCAAAAGACAUCGAUACAAAAAGUAAGGAAAUAAUUGGAAACUAAUUGAAUAUUAUUUCGGAGUCGUCUACUUUUUGUACUGUUGCCUCUUUGAUCUUGUAAAUUUAUUUACGAAAGAAGAAAAAGAAAAGAAAGUUAAAAAAACAAAAAAAGGAAAAAAGAAAAAAGAAAGAAGAAUUUUGACAUCUUGUAAAAAUUAUAAGAUAUCAUCUCUAUCUUCUAUAUAUUGUCAUGUUGCAUCUCAUGCAUAUGUGAGAAUGUAUAAAAUAUAAUAAUAUUAUUUAGUGGCGAUAAUAAUUAUAACUUCUCUGCAU
rnacentral:misc_RNA from 1 species